UCUAACAAGCCAGGAGACUUGGAGCCAGGGCAGGUCACAGACACAGGACACACACACACACACACACACACACACACUCCUCGUCCUUACGCAGGCAGCGUCACAUUCCAACUGUGGCAUUCCUGCUAAUUAGAACACAAAUUAAUGAUCCAAGCAAGUGAGACAGGCUGACUCUCCCUCCCUCUAGUCAACAUUUAGCCUUCCUCCCCAUUGCAUCUUCCUCUGCGUUGGCUUCUCAUUCUUAUUCCUCUUUUCCUUUUCUCUCUUUUAAAAAAAAUUAAUUUUCUCUUUGUCUCUUUUUGCGCUUUCUCCUCCUCCAAGACAGGUGAGAGAAACAUUCUGGGAAAGUUGUGUAAACACAACCUGUUUCUAAUUUAUCAAUUAAAAAAAGGCAUUAUAUGCAUACUCAGAUUUUGUUGUAAUAGGACUAUAUAGGCAGGCAAACUCAGUAUCUUCUUUUUUAUCUUUCUGAAAACUCACUUCUAUCUUAUGGAUUUUUCUUAACUUAUGGUAUUUGUUGUAAUUAUUUAAAUAUUUAAUCUUGUUCUGUUAUCUUAUGUUUUGGAUGUUCUUUUGUUGUUUUUUAAAAAAACCUUUAUUAUUUGUUUUUAUUGUAACUUUGUUUUGAAAGGUUCUAUAUAAAUAAAGUUAUUAUUAGGUACAAAAUCUGUCCAGGAGAUUCUGUAGAAGCUUUUACACGCUGAAAAUAAAGUCAUCAACUGCCAUUAAAAUAAAGCUUAUAAUCCAAAAAACUUUAACUUUUCAACGAAAAUUAGUCCAGUUUUAACAGACGGCUAGACAUCUUUUCUGCUGCUUCAACAACAAACUGAGACUUUGGUAAAAAACGGGAAGUGAAAGCCACAAGCCUCUCUUUCAUGAAAUCAAAUCUACUUUUAUAAAUAACCAUUAAAUUGUCAGCAUGCCGAUAAAGGACCGACUAGGGAAACCUGAUGACCGAAUGGUCUGCCUACAUGAGAGUGAAAUUAUCAGAGCAUAACUUGAAGAAACGAUGAAAAAUCAGGAAGAACUGUGAUACAUUCUGGGGCAAAGUCAGAGAAAACCACAACAACAACAAACUCAAUCUGGCAGUGCUCCUCAGCAGUCCAGGACACCUUGCCCACGAUGCAUCAGUGGAGGGCUGACCUUGAGUGCUAGGCAUUAAGGUCAGGAAACAUCAUUAGUCCUGCUUCCCCACUGCAAGGCUAAGAAUAGGAACAUGAACACAAUCACUCACUCAUCAUCUCCAUAUA